AUUGAACGCUGGCGGAAUGCUUUACACAUGCAAGUCGAACGGCAGCACGGGGGCAACCCUGGUGGCGAGUGGCGAACGGGUGAGUAAUACAUCGGAACGUGCCCGUUCGUGGGGGAUAACGUAGCGAAAGUUACGCUAAUACCGCAUACGAUCUGAGGAUGAAAGCGGGGGACCUUCGGGCCUCGCGCGAUCGGAGCGGCCGAUGUCAGAUUAGGUAGUUGGUGGGGUAAAGGCCUACCAAGCCGACGAUCUGUAGCUGGUCUGAGAGGACGACCAGCCACACUGGGACUGAGACACGGCCCAGACUCCUACGGGAGGCAGCAGUGGGGAAUUUUGGACAAUGGGCGCAAGCCUGAUCCAGCCAUUCCGCGUGCAGGACGAAGGCCUUCGGGUUGUAAACUGCUUUUGUAUGGAACGAAAAGGCUCUGGCUAAUACCUGGGGCUCAUGACGGUACCGUAAGAAUAAGCACCGGCUAACUACGUG
rnacentral:rRNA from 1 species